ACGCUCGACACCUACGGGAGGCAGCAGUAGGGAAUCUUCCACAAUGGGCGCAAGCCUGAUGGAGCAACACCGCGUGAGUGAAGAAGGGUUUCGGCUCGUAAAGCUCUGUUGUUGGAGAAGAACGUGCGUGAGAGUAACUGUUCACGCAGUGACGGUAUCCAACCAGAAAGUCACGGCUAACUACGUGCCCGCAGCCGCGGUAAUCUGAGCGGGCUGGCAAGGC
rnacentral:rRNA from 1 species